GAUGAACGCUGGCGGCGUGCCUAAUACAUGCAAGUCGAGCGAACAGACGAGGAGCUUGCUCCUCUGACGUUAGCGGUGGACGGGUGAGUAACACGUGGAUAACCUACCUAUAAGACUGGGAUAACUUCGGGAAACCGGAGCUAAUACCGGAUAACAUGUUGAACCGCAUGGUUCAACAGUGAAAGACGGUCUUGCCGUCACUUAUAGAUGGAUCCGCGCCGCAUUAGCUAGUUGGUAAGGUAACGGCUUACCAAGGCAACGAUGCGUAGCCGACAUGGGAGGGUGAUCGGCCACACUGGAACUGAGACACGGACCAGACUCCUAGGGGAGGCAGCAGUAGGGAAGCUUCCGCAAUGGGCGAAAGCCUGACGGAGCAACGCCGCGUGAGUGAAGAAGGUCUUCGGAUCGUAAAACUCUGUUAUUAGGGAAGAACAAAUGUGUAAGUAACUAUGCACGUCUUGACGGUACCUAAUCAGAAAGCCACGGCUAACUACGUGCCAGCCGCCGCCGUAA
rnacentral:rRNA from 1 species